ensembl:snoRNA
UCUGUUCAUAGAGGCAUUGUAGGCGUGGUUUCUGUGUCACAUGUACAUCAGUAGGUGGCAGAGGAGAGAGGCUAUGUCUAGGCUAAACGUUCUGAACUAUGAACGUCUGAGUUAUUAGUAGCCUAACAUC